rnacentral:rRNA from 1 species
CCCGCUGAACUUAAGCAUAUCAAUAAGCGGAGGAAAAGAAACUAACAAGGAUUCCCCCAGUAACUGCGAGUGAAGCGGGAAAAGCUCAAAUUUAAAAUCUGGCUGACUUGCGAGCGCCCGAGUUGUUCUGUGGAGAAGCUGUUCAAUCCGCGUUGGACCGUGUACAAGUCUUCUGGAAGGAAGCGUCAUAGAGGGUGAGAAUCCCGUCUGUGACCCGCACUACCAAUGCUUUUGUGAUGCGCUCUCGAAGAGUCGAGUUGUUAGGGAAUGCAGCUCCAAAUGGGUGGUAAAUUCCAUCUAAAGCUAAAUAUUGAGCGAGAGACCGAUAGCGAACAAGUACCGUGAGGGAAAGAUGAAAAGCACUUGGGAAAGAGAGUUAAACAGUACGUGAAAUUGUUGAAAGGGAACUGUUUGAAGUCAGUCUGCGUUGGCCGAGACUCAGCCUUGCUUCCGCUCGGUGCACUUCUCGGUUGACGGGUCAGCAUCAAUUUCGACCGCCGGAUAAAGGUUGAGGGAACGUGACAUCUUUCGAGGUGUGUCUAUAACCCUCGAUUCGCAUACGGCGAUGGGGAUCGAGGAACUCAGCGCGCCUUUAUGGUCGGGGUAGCAACCCACGUAACUGCGCUCAGGACGCUGGCAUAAUGGCUUUAAGCGACCCGUCUUGAAACACGG